rnacentral:rRNA from 1 species
GAUGAACGCUGGCGGCGUGCCUAAUACAUGCAAGUCGAGCGAACGGACGAGAAGCUUGCUUCUCUGAUGUUAGCGGCGGACGGGUGAGUAACACGUGGAUAACCUACCUAUAAGACUGGGAUAACUUCGGGAAACCGGAGCUAAUACCGGAUAAUAUUUUUAACCGCAUGGUUCAAAAGUGAAAGACGGUCUUGCUGUCCCUUAUAGAUGGAUCCGCGCUGCAUUAGCUAGUUGGUAAGGUAACGGCUUACCAAGGCAACGAUGCAUAGCCGACCUGAGAGGGUGAUCGGCCACACUGGAACUGAGACACGGUCCAGACUCCUACGGGAGGCAGCAGUAGGGAAUCUUCCGCAAUGGGCGAAAGCCUGACGGAGCAACGCCGCGUGAGUGAUGAAGGUCUUCGGAUCGUAAAACUCUGUUAUUAGGGAAGAACAUAUGUGUAAGUAACUGUGCACAUCUUGACGGUACCUAAUCAGAAAGCCACGGCUAACUACGUG